rnacentral:rRNA from 1 species
UACGUAGGGGGCGAGCGUUGUCCGGAAUUACUGGGCGUAAAGGGCGCCUAGGCGGUUUGAUAAGUCCGCUGUGAAAGACCGAGGCUCAACCUCGGGAUGUCAGCGGAGACUGUCAGACUGGAGUGUCGGAGAGGAGUGCGGAAUUCCUGGUGUAGCGGUGGAAUGCGUAGAUAUCAGGAGGAACACCGAUGGCGAAGGCAGCACUCUGGCCGAAGACUGACGCUGAAGCGCGAAAGCUGGGGGAGCGAACGGG